rnacentral:rRNA from 1 species
CAUAUCAAUAAGCGGAGGAAAAGAAACCAACAGGGAUUGCCCCAGUAACGGCGAGUGAAGCGGCAAGAGCUCAAAUUUGAAAGCUGGCUCCUUCGGGGUCCGCAUUGUAAUUUGCAGAGGAUGCUUCGGGAGCGGUCCCCAUCUAAGUGCCCUGGAACGGGACGUCAUAGAGGGUGAGAAUCCCGUAUGGGAUGGGGUGUCCGCGCCCGUGUGAAGCUCCUUCGACGAGUCGAGUUGUUUGGGAAUGCAGCUCUAAAUGGGUGGUAAAUUUCAUCUAAAGCUAAAUAUUGGCCGGAGACCGAUAGCGCACAAGUAGAGUGAUCGAAAGAUGAAAAGCACUUUGAAAAGAGAGUUAAAAAGCACGUGAAAUUGUUGAAAGGGAAGCGCUUGCGACCAGACUCGCUCGCGGGGUUCAGCCGGCAUUCGUGCCGGUGUAUUUCCCCGCGGGCGGGCCAGCGUCGGUUUGGGCGGUCGGUCAAAGGCCCUCGGAAGGUAACGCCCCUAGGGGCGUCUUAUAGCCGAGGGUGCAAUGCGACCUGCCUAGACCGAGGAACGCGCUUCGGCUCGGACGCUGGCAUAAUGGUCGUAAGCGAC